AGCAGCCGCGGUAAUUCCAGCUCCAAUAGCGUAUAUUAAAGUUGUUGCAGUUAAAAAGCUCGUAGUUGAACUUCGGGAUCAAUCAGUUGGUCAUGCCUUGGUAUGUACUGAUUUUAUUGGUUCUCACCUUCUAAAGAACUAUAAUGUCAUUUAUUUGAUGUUAUAGGGAAUUAGGACUGUUACCUUGAAAAAAUUAGAGUGUUUAAAGCAGGCUCACGCUUGAAUACAUUAGCAUGGAAUAAUGAAAUAGGACAUCGCAUUCUAUUUUGUUGGUUUCUAGGAUCGAUGUAAUGAUUAAUAGGGAUAGUUGGGGGCAUUAGUAUUCAAUUGUCAGAGGUGAAAUUCUUGGAUUUAUUGAAGACUAACUACUGCGAAAGCAAUUUGCCAAGGAUGUUUUCAUUAAUCAAGAACGAAAGUUAGGGGAUCGAAGACGAUC
rnacentral:rRNA from 1 species